AUUGAACGCUGGCGGAAUGCUUUACACAUGCAAGUCGAACGGCAGCACGGACUUCGGUCUGGUGGCGAGUGGCGAACGGGUGAGUAACAUAUCGGAACGUAUCCAAUAAUGGGGGAUAACUAAUCGAAAGGUUGGCUAAUACCGCAUACGCCCUAUGGGGGAAAGCUAGGGACCUUCGGGCCUGGCGUUAAUGGAGCGGCCGAUAUUUGAUUAGCUAGUUGGUGGGGUAAAGGCCCACCAAGGCGACGAUCAGUAGCUGGUCUGAGAGGACGACCAGCCACACUGGAACUGAGACACGGUCCAGACUCCUACGGGAGGCAGCAGUGGGGAAUUUUGGACAAUGGGCGCAAGCCUGAUCCAGCCAUUCCGCGUGAGUGAAGAAGGCCUUCGGGUUGUAAAGCUCUUUCGCAAGGGAAGAAAACUUAGCCACUAACAUUGGCUGAGGUUGACGGUACCUUGAUAAGAAGCACCGGCUAACUACGUGCCAGCAGCCGCAGUAACAC
rnacentral:rRNA from 1 species